GACGAACGCUGGCGGCGUGCUUAACACAUGCAAGUCGAGCGGUAAGGCCCUUCGGGUACACGAGCGGCGAACGGGUGAGUAACACGUGGGUGACCUGCCCUUAGCUCUGGGAUAAGCCUGGGAAACUGGGUCUAAUACCGGAUAUGACCUCAUGACGCAUGUUGUGGGGUGGAAAGCCUUGUGCGGCUAGGGAUGGGCCCGCGGCCUAUCAGCUUGUUGGUGGGGUGAUGGCCACCAAGGCGACGACGGUAGCCGGCCUGAGAGGGCGACCGGCCACACUGGGACUGAGACACGGCCCAGACUCCUACGGGAGGCAGCAGUGGGGAAUCUUGCGCAAUGGGCGAAAGCCUGAACGCAGCGACGCCGCGUGAGGGAUGACGGCCU
rnacentral:rRNA from 1 species